AUCUCCCAGGUAGAUGUUUGUGUUUGUGCUAAUUCUUUGUCCUGUGCUAGGCUCCACCUUCUCCAGGAUGUGGGUGUGGUUUCCAGAGUCCAGUGCAAUCAGCAAUCACCUGUGUCCUAUUUAAAGGCUGUGAUCCUGCACCUCAGUGCCUCUUGGCCACUUGCCUGCCGUACCACCUCUUGCAGAUGCUUGCCAGUGCAAAGGCCUGCCUUUGUCAUGUUUUUUAAUGUACACUUGGUCAGACUGGGUUGGUAGGGGAGAGCUGCCUUUUGGUUUAACCCCAGUUUUCUCUUGUUUAAGUGAUUGUUAGGUUUAGGUUAGUUUGUAGGUUUGUACUAUUUUACUUUCAUUGUUGUUAGGUAAGUUCUUCUUUUUAUUUUCUGAUUAGGGUUGUUUUGUUUGUUAUGUUGGCCUGGGCUCUCUCUGAAGUUUUAACCGUCUGAAUUGUAAAUAAUGUAAAAUUAGAAGUAAAUAAAUGUUUAAAAGAUAA